CGUUAAAACACCGAUUCCUGUACGAUCACUGAAGUUAAGCAACGUCGAACCUGGUCAUUACCUAGUUGGUUGACCGCUUGGGAAUACCAGGUGUUGUAAG